rnacentral:hammerhead_ribozyme from 1 species
UUCCAGCUGAUGAGUUCCUAAUAGAAUGAAACGCGCGUCUUGGAU